GGAGGGGUGCCGGAGCGGUCGAACGGAACCCGCUUGAAACGGGUCAGACGCCGCAAGGCGUCUCGGGGGUUCGAAUCCCUCCCCCUCCG
rnacentral:tRNA from 1 species